UUGUGCUUGAGUAGUAUUAGUUAUGUUCUUGAAACUUAAAGAAUUUGGCGGUAUCUUAUUCCGUUCAGAGGAAUCUGUCUCGUUAUCGAUAGUCCGCGUUGGACCUUACUUAGUUGCUAUGGUUUGUAUACCGCCGUUUAUUGAUUAUUCUUUUAGGGUCGUUAAUUUUCUGGUUUCUUUAUUUUGAUUUAUUUCAGGUCAAGGUGCAGCUUGUUUCUAAGUGUUAUUGAUGGAUUACAUUGUUUUUUGUUGUUUGGAUUAUUGGUUGAAUUACCGGUAUGAAAUUGGAUUUGAUUGUAAUGUCUUGAAUAUUGUUUUCGUGAUA
rnacentral:rRNA from 1 species